GACGAACGCUGGCGGCGUGCUUAACACAUGCAAGUCGUACGGUAAGGCCCUUUCGGGGGUCCACGAGUGGCGAACGGGUGAGUAACACGUGAGUAACCUGCCCACAACUUUGGGAUAACGCUAGGAAACUGGUGCUAAUACUGGAUAUGUGCUCCUGCUGCAUGGAGGGGGUUGGAAAGCUCCGGCGGUUGUGGAUGGACUCGCGGCCUAUCAGCUUGUUGGUGGGGUAGUGGCCUACCAAGGCGGCGACGGGUAGCCGGCCUGGGAGGGUGACCGGCCACAUUGGGACUGAGAUACGGCCCAGACUCCUACGGGAGGCAGCAGUGGGGAAUAUUGCACAAUGGGCGCAAGCCUGAUGCAGCAACGCCGCGUGCGGGAUGACGGCCUUCGGGUUGUAAACCGCUUUCAGCAGGGACGAAGCUUUUUGUGACGGUACCUGCAGAAGAAGCACCGGCUAACUACGUG
rnacentral:rRNA from 1 species